rnacentral:rRNA from 1 species
UGGGGAAUUUUGGGACAAUGGGGGAAACCCUGAUCCAGCCAUCCCGCGUGUGCGAUGAAGGCCUUCGGGUUGUAAAGCACUUUUGGCAGGAAAGAAACGUCGCGGGUUAAUACCCCGCGAAACUGACGGUACCUGCAGAAUAAGCACCGGCUAACUACGUGCCAGCAGCCGCGGUAAUACGUAGGGUGCAAGCGUUAAUCGGAAUUACUGGGCGUAAAGCGUGCGCAGGCGGUUCGGAAAGAAAGUGUGAAUCCAGAGCUUAACUUUGGAACUGCAUUUUUAACUACCGGGCUAGGAGUGUGUCAGAGGGAGGUGGAAUUCCGCGUGUAGCAGUGAAAUGCGUAGAUAUGCGGAGGAACACCGAUGGCGAAGGCAGCCUCCUGGGAUAACACUGACGCUCAUGCACGAAAGCGUGGGGAGCAAACAGGAUUAGAUNCCCGUGGUAGUCCACGCCCUAAAACGAUGCCAA